rnacentral:rRNA from 1 species
GACGAACGCUGGCGGCGUGCUUAACACAUGCAAGUCGAACGAAGUGGCGAACGGGUGAGUAACGCGUAAUCAACCUGCCCUUCAGAGGGGGACAACAGUUGGAAACGACUGCUAAUACCGCAUACUGAAGGAGGGGAUUGCGUCUGAUUCGCUAGUUGGAGGGGUCACGGCCCACCAAGGUGAUGAUCAGUAGCCGGUCUGAGGGGAGGAACGGCCACAUUGGGACUGGGACACGGCCCAGACUCCUUCGGGAGGCAGCAGGGGGGAAUCUUCCGCAAUGGAGGAAAGUCUGACGGAGCAACGCCGCGUUAGUGAUGACGGCCUUCGGGGUGUAAAGCUCUGUUAAUCGGGACGCGGUACCGGAAUAGAAAGCCACGGCUAACUACGUGCCAGCAGCCGCGGUAAUUC